AGCAAUACCACACUGAUAGGGGUAUGUUCCGACGCCUCUUGAAGGUUAAUAUAGAAUCUCCAUACCCUACUUCGACCCAAUACGUCCACGACGUUCAGAACAUAUCUCUCCAAUAAUCUGGGCUUGGGUCCACGGGGAAACCCAACUCCUUGGGAGGGUAGGUUAUAUGACUAAAUUGAGCGUG
rnacentral:ribozyme from 1 species